rnacentral:rRNA from 1 species
UACGUAGGGGGCGAGCGUUGUCCGGAUUUAUUGGGCGUAAAGAGCGUGUAGGCGGCUUGGUAGGUCCGCUGUGAAACUCGGGGCUCAACCCCGAGAGGUCGGUGGAAACCAUCUGGCUAGAGUCCGGAAGAGGAGAGUGGAAUUCCCGGUGUAGCGGUGAAAUGCGCAGAUAUCGGGAAGAAUAUCCGUGGCGAAGGCGGGUCUCUGGGCAACAACUGACGCUGAGGAGCCGAAAGCGUGGGAGCGAACAGG